rnacentral:rRNA from 1 species
CCCGUCAAGCCAUGGGAAUUGGUUUUGCUCGAAAUUAGUGAGCUAACCGCAAGGGAGCAGCUACUUACAGCAGAGUCAGUGACUGGGGUU